AGAACGAACGCUGGCGGCGUGCCUAACACAUGCAAGUCGAACGGAAUAAGGGGCUUGCUUCUUAUUUAGUGGCGCACGGGUGAGUAACGCGUAGAUAAUCUGCCUGAUGAUCUGGGAUAACAUUUCGAAAGAGGUGCUAAUACCGGAUAAGCCCACGACGGCCUUGGUCGACGGCGGGAAAAGGGGGGGACCUUCGGGCCUUCUGUCAUCAGAUGAGUCUGCGUACCAUUAGCUAGUUGGUGGGUAAGGCCUACCAAGGCUACGAUGGUUAGCUGGUCUGAGAGGAUGAUCAGCCACACUGGAACUGAGACACGGUCCAGACUCCUACGGGAGGCAGCGAGUGGGGAAUUUUGCGCAAGUGGGCGAAAGCCUGACGCAGCAACGCCGCGUGAGUGAUGGAAGGCGUUUCGGGUCGGUAAAGCUCUGUCAAGUAGGAAAGAAGUGUAUUGAGGCUAAUAUCCUCGAUACUUGACGGUACCAUAAAGGAGACACGGCUAACU
rnacentral:rRNA from 1 species